rnacentral:rRNA from 1 species
CGGGACGGGUGAGUAAUGCUUGGGAAUCUAGCUUAUGGAGGGGGAUAACUACGGGAAACUGUAGCUAAUACCGCGUAGAAUCGGGAGAUGAAAGUGUGGGACCUUCGGGCCACAUGCCAUAGGAUGAGCCCAAGUGGGAUUAGGUAGUUGGUGAGGUAAAGGCUCACCAAGCCGACGAUCUCUAGCUGGUCUGAGAGGAUGACCAGCCACACUGGGACUGGGACACGGCCCAG